CAACAUUGUAAGUAUGACAAGCAAUUUAUCAGCAAUAAUGGCAAUGUUGAUAUCUUAUUUACGGUACCUGACAAAAUUUUCUAUUUAGGCGCCCCGUCGUUGAUGCACAACGUGAUGUUCUAAGGAAGGAGGACGAAGCAGCACUGGCCCAGAACGCAGGAGAUGUCCUGCACACGGUUGGAAAGCUCCUGCAAGGACAGCUGUCCGGAGCCACUCCAGAAAAUCGGGAGAGCAUACUGAAUGCCCUGAAGACGAUUAAUACGGCCGCCUUGGAUCCAAAUGAUACUGAGCAGUAUUUCAUUCUCAUUUUUAUCAAGGCAAUAGUUGCAGCAGCUAUCAGCACCGGUGUAUCAGUUGGUGCAGGCCUUGAAUUCAACAAAGCGUUGAAGAAGGGCUUCAAGAAAAGGGGCUAAGGAAAAUGAUUUGCGCGUCUGACGGAUCAAAUAAAGCGUAAUCCAAACAUC